GACCUUCAUGCUCCUGGAGCGGCCGAUAUCUGAUUAGCUAGUUGGUAGGGUAAAAGCCUACCAAGGCAUCGAUCAGUAGCUGGUCUGAGAGGACGACCAGCCACACUGGAACUGAGACACGGUCCAGACUCCUACGGGAGGCAGCAGUGGGGAAUUUUGGACAAUGGGCGCAAGCCUGAUCCAGCAAUGCCGCGUGAGUGAAGAAGGCCUUCGGGUUGUAAAGCUCUUUUGUCAGGGAAGAAACGGUKYUUUCUAAUACAGAGMKCUAAUGACGGUACCUGAAGAAUAAGCACCGGCUAACUACGUGCCAGCAGCCGCGGUAAUACGUAGGGUGCAAGCGUUAAUCGGAAUUACUGGGCGUAAAGCGUGCGCAGGCGGUUUUGUAAGACUGUCGUGAAAUCCCCGGGCUCAACCUGGGAAUGGCGAUGGUGACUGCAAGGCUAGAGUUUGGCAGAGGGGGGUAGAAUUCCACGUGUAGCAGUGAAAUGCGUAGAUAUGUGGAGGAACACCGAUGGCGAAGGCAGCCCCCUGGGUCAAAACUGACGCUCAUGCACGAAAGCGUGGGGAGCAAACAGGAUUAGAUACCCUGGUAGUCCACGCCCUAAACGAUGUCUACUAGUUGUCGGGUUUUAAUUAACUUGGUAACGCAGCUAACGCGUGAAGUAGACCGCCUGGGGAGUACGGUCGCAAGAUUAAAACUCAAAGGAAUUGACGGGGACCCGCACAAGCGGUGGAUGAUGUGGAUUAAUUCGAUGCAACGCGAAAAACCUUACCUACCCUUGACAUGGCAGAAAAAAACG
rnacentral:rRNA from 1 species